UCCUGCGAAUUUCCGGUUGUC
ensembl:piRNA 21ur-636 ncRNA